UCCCAGGUGGCUCAGUGGUAAAGAAUCCGCCUGUAAUGCAGGAGACCCAGGUUUGAUCCCUGGGUUGGGAA
rnacentral:tRNA from 1 species